CGCUGGCGGUGCGCCUUAUGCAUGCAAGUCGAGCGAAGCUUUUCAGUAGUUUACUACAGAAAAUGACUGAGCGGCGAACGGGUGAGUAACGCGUGAGCAAUCUACCUUAGUUACUGGGAUAGCCCGAGGAAACUCGGAUUAAUACCGGAUAAUCUUAUUACAUCACAUGAUAUUUUAAGUAAAGGUCAGCCGAACUAAGAUGAGCUCGCGUUCUAUCAGCUUGUUGGUGGGGUAAAAGCCUACCAAGGCUACGACGGAUAGCUGGUCUGAGAGGACGAUCAGCCACACUGGGACUGAGACACGGCCCAGACUCCUACGGGAGGCUGCAGCAGGGAAUAUUGUGCAAUGAGCGAAAGCUUGACACAGCGACACCGCGUGUGGGAUGACGGUUCUAGGAUUGUAAACCACUUUCAGGAGGGAAGAAAAUGACGGUACCUCCACAAGAAGCCCCGGCCAACUACGUGCCAGCAGCCGCGGUAAUACGUAGGGGGCGAGCGUUGUCCGGAUUUAUUGGGCGUAAAGAGCUCGUAGGCGGUUCAACAAGUCGGUCGUGAAAGUUUAGGGCUUAACCCUGAAAUGUCGAUCGAUACUGUUGUGACUAGGAUAUGGUAGAGGUGAAUGGAAUUCCGAGUGUAGCGGUGAAAUGCGUAGAUAUUCGGAGGAACACCAAUUGCGAAGGCAGUUCACUGGACCACUAUCGACGCUGAGGAGCGAAAGCUAGGGGAGCAAACAGGAUUAGAUACCCUGGUAGUCCUAGCUGUAAACGAUGGAUACUAGAUGUAGGAAUUGGAUUGACGAUUUCUGUAUCGUAGCUAACGCGUUAAGUAUCCCGCCUGGGGAGUACGGU
rnacentral:rRNA from 1 species